AGAUAGGCCUGCAGGUGGAAUAAGAAAUGUAAGUGCAGAAACAUGAUAGUCAAGAACUACAGUAAAUGGAAGUCUGAGGAUAUAACUAGAAAUGGAAACGUUGAGAACAUCAAGAACAGACUUGAUCAAGAAAUAUUGCAUGGCAAAUUAGAAGCCCAUUUAUACAUAUUCAGAUGAAUGUGUGCAAAAGAAUCAACAUGACCAAGAACUCUGAAAUUUCUCAGUUUAUAGUAAGUAGAACACCUGAUAGUUCUUAUGCAAUAUCCAUCCACUUCCCAGCUCUUUCUCCAUCAUCUUCACCACCUCUUCAACCUUCCAGUAGAACAAAUUUGAUUAACAUUAAGAAAAAUGUCAGAUUAACUCACCACAACUAAGUUUAACUUCACUAAGUAUUCCACUUCAACAGUUCAAAUUUAAUAGAGUUUGGACCUUGUUCUUGUGCGCAGACGGGUCAGAAUCCAACACCAACAAAAUACGGCCGCCUUCAACAGAGGGAGUAUCGAUAACUCUUUCGCGAGUCCAUCCCUACCCAUGAUUCAAAAAUGUAAUUAGAAAAACACCCAGAAAUUAGAAACUUGAGAAAACUAAAAGGUGGAACAAAAAUGUAGCAAAAAAUCAGACUGACCGAAAAGUAAAUGAUGAAUCGUCUGGAACUGAAGUUUUUGUCUCCGAGUCGACACAUUGUGGACUUUUCACAUUCCUUGGAAUUAAACAAAACGGAUUUAAUAGAUAACAGGCAAUAACAAAUUCUGGGAAAAGAAGAA